rnacentral:rRNA from 1 species
UUGGAGGGCAAGUCUGGUGCCAGCAGCCGCGGUAAUUCCAGCUCCAAUAGCGUAUAUUAAAGUUGUUGCAGUUAAAAAGCUCGUAGUUGAAUUUCGGGACCAAUUUGUUGGUCGUGCCUCGGUACGUACUGGUAUUAUUGGUUUCUCCCUUCUGAAGAACCUUGAUGUCAUUAAUUUGGUGUCUUGGGGAAUCAGGACUGUUACUUUGAAAAAAUUAGAGUGUUUAAAGCAGGCAUACGCUUGAAUACAUUAGCAUGGAAUAAUGAAAUAGGACGUUUGAUUCUAUUUUGUUGGUUUCUAGGAUCGACGUAAUGAUUAAUAGGGAUAGUUGGGGGCAUUAGUAUUCAAUUGUCAGAGGUGAAAUUCUUGGAUUUAUUGAAGACUAACUACUGCGAAAGCAUUUGCCAAGGAUGUUUUCAUUAAUCAAGAACGAAAGUUAGGGGAUCGAAGACGAUCAGAUACCGCCGUAGUCUUAACCAUAAACUAUGCCGACUAGGGAUCGGAUGAUGUUAUUUUUAAUGACUCAUUCGGCGCCUUACGGGAAACCAAAGUGUUUGGGUUC